rnacentral:rRNA from 1 species
GGAUGACACAGUAGGAUAAGCUAAGCACACUGUUGGUUAUGUGUGCCCAAGCAUUGAGGCAGUCAAAGUAGGCAAAUCCGCUUUGAUAAUGCUGGGAUGUGAUGGGGAGCGAAAUUUAGUAGCGAAGUAGCUGAUUUCACACUGUCAAGAAAAGUCUCUAUCGAGGUUAAAGGUACCCGUACCGCAAACCGACACAGGUGGGUGAGGAGAGUAUCCUAAGGCCAGCGAGAGAACUGUUGUUAAGGAACUCGGCAAAAUGACCCCGUAACUUAGGGAUAAGGGGUGCCACCAUCAGGUGGCCGCAGAGAAUAGGCCCAAGCGACUGUUUACCAAAAACAUAGGUUUCUGCUAAGUCGCAAGACGAUGUAUAGGAGCUGACGCCUGCCCGGUGCUGGAAGGUUAAGGGGAUCUGUUAGAGCAAUCGAAGCAGUGAACUUAAGCCCCAGUAAACGGCGGCCGUAACUAUAACGGUCCUAAGGUAGCGAAAUUCCUUGUCGGGUAAGUUCCGACCCGCACGAAAGGCGUAACGAUUUGGGCACUGUCUCAACAACAGACUCGGUGAAAUUGUAAUUCCGGUGAAGAUGCCGGAUACCUGCGACAGGACGGAAAGACCCCAUGGAGCUUUACUGUAGCUUGACAUUGGGUCUUGGUACUACAUGUACAGGAUAGGUGGGAGGCUUUGAAACCAGGACGCCAGUUUUGGCGGAGCCAUCCUUGGGAUACCACCCUUGUAGUACUGGGACUCUAACCAUAGGCCAUGAAUCUGGUCUUGGGACACUGUCAGGUGGGCAGUUUGACUGGGGCGGUCGCCUCCCAAAAGGUAACGGAGGCGCUCAAAGGUUCUCUCAGUACGGUCGGAAAUCGUACGUAGAGUGUAAAGGCAAAAGAGAGCUUGAUUGCAAGACAUACAGGUCGAGCAAGGAUGAAAAUCGGACUUAGUGAUCCGGUGGUUCUGCGUGGAAGGGCCAUCGCUCAACGGAUAAAAGCUACCCUGGGGAUAACAGGCUUAUCUCCCCCAAGAGUCCACAUCGACGGGGAGGUUUGGCACCUCGAUGUCGGCUCAUCACAUCCUGGGGCUGUAGUAGGUCCCAAGGGUUGGGCUGUUCGCCCAUUAAAGUGGUACGCGAGCUGGGUUCAGAACGUCGUGAGACAGUUCGGUCCCUAUCCGUCGCAGGCGUAGGAAAUUUGAGAAGACCUGUCCUUAGUACGAGAGGACCGGGAUGGACGUACCUCUGGUGUACCAGUUGUCCUGCCAAGGGCAUGGCUGGGUAGCUAUGUACGGAAUGGAUAAGCGCUGAAAGCAUCUAAGCGCGAAGCCAACUUCAAGAUAAGAUUUCCCACCGCAAGGGUAAGACCCCAGAAAGACUAUCUGGUUGAUAGGUCGAAGGUGUAAGUGCAGCAAUGUAUUUAGCUUAUCGAUACUAAUAGGUCGAGGACUUGACC